rnacentral:rRNA from 1 species
GAUGAACGCUGGCGGCGUGCCUAAUACAUGCAAGUCGAGCGAACAGGCGAGGAGCUUGCUCCUCUGACGUUAGAGGCGGACGGGAGAGUAACACGUGGAUAACCUACCUAUAAGAAUGGGAUAACUUCGGGAAACAGGAGCUAAUACCGGAAAAUAUAUUGAACUGCAUGGUGCAAUAGUGAAAGACGGUAUUGCUGUCAGUUAUAGAUGGAUCCGCGCCGCAUUAGCUAGUUGGUAAGGUAACGGCUUACCAAGGCAACGAUGCUUACACGACCUGAAGGCGAGGUCCGCCAGACUGUAUGGGAGACACGUUCCACACACCUAGAGUGAGCAGCAGUAGAGAAUCUUCCGCGAUGGACGAGUGCCUGACGUAGCAACGCCGCGUGAGUGAUGAUGGUCUUCUGAUCGGAAAGCUCUGAAAGUAUGGAAGUUCAAAUGUGUAUGUAACUAUGCACGUCUUGACGGUACCUAAUCAGAAAGCCACGGCUAACUACGUG